UCGGCUUCUUUGUUUCUUGUUCAGGUGUUCCUUGCUACCUUGUCAAUUUGUUUGUAUUUAGUUUCCUGCUUUCGUUCACUUCUGUUUGUUCAUUGUCCAUGCCACAUGUAGUUGAUGUCCGUUUGUUUGUCCAAGACAAGUUUCUAGCAUAUUUGUUGGCUUACUUUUUUUGGACUUGUGUUUCUGAUCAUGCACAAGUUGCUUGCCUCUUUUGUUUUAAUUUGUUUUAAUUUAGUUUUUGUUUUUCAUCUUGCCCUCGCCUGCCGCUGACAACAUUAGAAACACAGUAAAUGGAGUCACCAAUGGCACCCAAGGAAGCAUCCAGUCUGAAAAAGUAACAAAGCGAGAAAACAAGCUACAAGUCUCCGCCUUGGUUUAAAGGAAUUUCAGCCUUUCUUUCUCUGUGUGCUCGGCUCGCCCGCACAAUAGACGUGUUAUUUGCUCACGGCCAAAAUCGUAACCCAAGGUGCUGCGGCUACGUUUCCGAGCCGGUCUUCAGCUGUGCGAGCGAGUAAGUUUCACCUUUAAAACAAAACCCCCCAAAAACAAUGCAGUGUGUCUCAAGGAGCCGUAAGGCACAAUGAUGGAUGAUUGUUUCUCUUGGAAGGAAGCCUCAUAAAAAUGGAAUCGAAUCUAAGCUUCAUGUGUGUGUGUGUGUGUGCAUGCGUGCGUGUGUUUUUUUGUUUUGAUGUGAGGCAACCUAACUGAAGUUGCCAGGCAACCCAAUAAAAUCUUAAGGCUGCCUCCUGAAUUUCACCUGGUCCUGCUUGUGUGUGUGUUUGUGUGUGUUUCAUCAUUUCGCUAUUUGAAGACAUGUUUUUGCUAGUCCACGCAGAGCAGUGACCAAAUAUUUUCAAAGUACUGCCAUGAUGAAAGAUGCUGAAAGGCUGCUUUUAUCUUUAGAAGGCACAAUGUUAAUUGGAAUACUAAUCCCUGUGAUGUCAGCUUAGGUUGUGUUGCUUUCAGUGAGCAACUGGCAUGCACUCUUUAAUGCAACGUUUUCUUGUCAAAAUAUUGACUUUCUUCUCCGAGCAUUCUCUUUUCUCCUCAAAAACUUUUUGUUGACAUAAUCCGACUGUAGUGUCUUUCUUUUGGCAUUUUCAUAGACGGAUGCAGUUACAAAGGGGUGUUUGCGCCGUUGUGGGAAUCAGAGCAGCUCUCAUUAUUCCCUUUAAAUUCAGCACAGGAGAGACGCACUCGACAUGACGGAAGUAUAACGGACUAGGUGGAAUCCGCCGUGCAAGAGAUUGUUG